rnacentral:lncRNA from 1 species
CUUGACUCUAAGAGUUGGGUUUCUCCCAGGGAAGACACGGCAAGAGUUCAGCCAUUUGGAGCUUAGGACCUGCCUGGGUCCAAAUCCCCAGCUUCCAAUUACCUGCUGGGCACAUGGCUCCCCUUCUUGGUGCCUCGGUUUCCUCAUCUGUAACUGGAGGAUACAGAUAGGCACUGGAAGUCUGAGAGAAGAAUGGAGUCUCUGAGACAGGUAGAACGUAGACUAGGACCUGGGCCAGAAGAGGUGCCCAGUGCUUCUGAAUCCGGAAGCCACAGCGUAGCCUGCAAGCCCUCGUGAGCUGCCCCCAUCCCAUCUCCUCCCACGACUUCCUUUCCCUCUUCCUCCCUCCCACCAGCCACAUGCCUCCUUGAUUCCCUUCUUUGUUUCCCCUUAGAUACUGGGAUUGAACCUGGGGGCUGUACCACUGAGCUACACCCCCACCCCCAGCCCUUUUUAUUUUUUUAUUUUAACACAGGGACUCGCUCUCACUAUUUUGCUCAGUCUGGCCUUGAACAUGUGAUCCUCCUGCCUCAGCCUCCUGAGUUGCUGGGAUUAAAGGCCUGGGCCACCAGGCACCACCACACCAMGCCCUGGUUCCUCCUUGUUUUCUUUUGAACUGUCCAUGACCAGCACGCCCUCACCCCAGGGUUUCCCGAUGUCCUCUGCUUGGAGUGAGGCCUCCCGGCAGCUCUCCCGAAAGCAGCUGUAUCCUCAGAACCUAGCACAGCACUUAGCACAGGGGACCCCCCAAAAAACACUUAAUGAGGGAAAUAUUUAUGGAAUGACURAGGGUUAGUAAUUGUCAUCCCCACACAUGCCCAAGGAGCGCUUUGAAGGCUUCAGGACAUCUCACAUGAAGACACCCCCAUCUGUCUCACCCUGCAUCUUAAUGCUCCCCAGCUGCACUAGAUUGUCCCUUUUCAUGAAGGGCUGGGACUCCAGGACCAGAAAGGGGCCAUUUGGCCAUGGGCCUGUUCAGCAAGCUUUCACAGAGGUUUGCGGAGCCCCAUUUCACAGAUGGGAGCUGGGUUUGGCCCUCUCCUCCCCAGUGGGUAACACCCACCCAGUCAAGGAGGCGAGGAGCAUGGCAGGGUGCAGGUGGCGGAGAGGUACAUGGUGGAAAAGGACCUGUGAGAAGAGACGUCAAGAAGAGGUGUCUACGCACCUGAGACCCUGCUUUACCUCCUGGGUCCCUCGGAGCCACUGUCCUCCUCUAGCCCCUGCAUUGGAAGAGGGUCAGCGCUGCUUCCAUGGAUCCUUCAAAGGCCUCAAAACCCAGGGGACCCAGAACCCUGGAGAUGGCCCCGACCACAUCUGAGCAGGCGUCGAGAGGGCCCCGCGAUGGCUCCCGCAACCCAGACUUAGCAAUGGGGACCCCAAGCCCGUUAGCUCAGGGCCGCGUGGACCACGGCCCGGCAGCUGGCCUGAAACGCUCCGGAGCCACCCGCGGGGACGAUUGACUUGUUGCGAGCUAGCGUUCCGGAUGCCACCUGGCAAGGCUGUCGGCGGGACGCUGAAGAAAUAAAUCUGCUCCUGAAGACA